rnacentral:rRNA from 1 species
UAAAGAAUUUCGGUAUGGGAUGGGGAUGCGUUCCAUUAGUUAGUUGGCGGGGUAACGGCCCACCAAGACAACGAUGGAUAGGGGUUCUGAGAGGAAGGUCCCCCACAUUGGAACUGAGACACGGUCCAAACUCCUACGGGAGGCAGCAGUGAGGAAUAUUGGUCAAUGGACGAGAGUCUGAACCAGCCAAGUAGCGUGAAGGAUGACUGCCCUAUGGGUUGUAAACUUCUUUUAUAUGGGAAUAAAAUGUUCCACGUGUGGGAUUUUGUAUGUACCAUAUGAAUAAGGAUCGGCUAACUCCGUGCCAGCAGCCGCGGUAAUACGGAGGAUCCGAGCGUUAUCCGGAUUUAUUGGGUUUAAAGGGAGCGUAGGUGGAUUGUUAAGUCAGUUGUGAAAGUUUGCGGCUCAACCGUAAAAUUGCAGUUGAAACUGGCAGUCUUGAGUACAGUAGAGGUGGGCGGAAUUCGUGGUGUAGCGGUGAAAUGCUUAGAUAUCACGAAGAACUCCGAUUGCGAAGGCAGCUCACUGGACUGCAACUGACACUGAGGCUCGAAAGUGUGGGUAUCAAACAGGAUUAGAUACCCUGGUAGUCCACACAGUAAACGAUGAAUACUCGCUGUUUGCGAUAUACGGCAA